CGUCGACAUGGCGAUGGUUAGACGACACAAACGGGAGAAAACCUGGUCUAGCAUGGACAUCACCAUUAAAGUAAUCUACUAGUUUCACAUGGUCAAUUACAACACCGGUCAAAAGCUUGGACAUACUUACUUGGAUAAUGUGGUGCCUUACAGGAUUGCAUGUCGUUUGCUACUUGCUAUCAGAGGCUGCAUCGUUGCUCAUUCACUCGAAGACCAGAGGCUGCCAUUAGUUGCUACACCCUUGAAAAUGUUUGCUCCCUCAGCUUUGGGGCCCAUGAAAGAGGUGGAGGCGCACAUGAAUGCAGAAAUGGACGGCCAAGGGUGGAGUGGAGCUAACAAGGCCAGACAAAGGCGGGAAUGAGGACCACCUGCAAUGGGAGACGAAAGGAACACAUGCAGCGAUGACAGCCCACUGAUGGGUUGAACACGUUAGUACAGGAUGCUCUGGUUGAUCGCGAGAGAGGAAGAGAAGGAAUGAAGAAGGCACUGUGGGGAAAAGAGGGAGGCAGAGUGAGGGGAGAGGUAUAUGGGAAGCAAGGGAGG
ensembl:lncRNA